GAGUCGGAGAUAGAGCAGAGAUGUUGAGACCCGAAAGAUGGUGAACUAUGCCUGAGCAGGAUGAAGCCAGAGGAAACUCUGGUGGAAGUCCAUAGCGGUUCUGACGUGCAAAUCGAACCAUCUA
rnacentral:rRNA from 1 species